AACGAAUCGUGCGAACGUUAUUCGGAAUCACUGGGCUUAAAGGGCGCGUAGGCGGGUCCGUAAGUCAGGGGUGAAAUCCCACGGCCCAACCGUGGAAGUGCCUCUGAUACUGCGGGCCUCGAGGGGGAUAGGGGCGUGCGGAACUCAGGGUGGAGCGGUGAAAUGCGUAGAUAUCCUGAGGAACACCGAAGGCGAAGGCAGUGUCCUGGGGAGUACCUGACGCUCAGGUGCGAAAGCCAGGGGAGCGAACGGG
rnacentral:rRNA from 1 species